rnacentral:lncRNA from 1 species
AAAUGGGCACUGAAAAUGGGGAAAAGAGGGUUUGGGUAGUUUUAUGAAAUUAAAAAAAGUUAAAUUAAUUAGAAAAAAUUAAGAAAAAAAAAAAAUUGAUGAUGAUGAUGGUGGUGAUGAUUAUGAUGUGGAGGGGCCUGAGGCUGCGAUCAACACGUGCUGCUGUCCAGUAUGAUUACGUGGCGAAAUAACAGAAUUCUAUCCACCGUAGGUAGCUUUGACUGAACGGUUACCGACACGUUGGCCAACUUGUCACUGUUACUCUCACCAGCCUAGUAAGCUACGAACUCGUUGUUAUAACGUUGUGGUGUUGGCAUUCGCAGGAACCCGUUUCUGUUUUUUUUUUUUUCUUGAGGGUGAAAUUAAUGAAUAGAUUCUUGCAUAAUAAUUGUGUUUGAUGAAGUUAAUUAAUUGGGGCAUGGGAGUUACAGGAAGGCAAUUAAGGGAGAGAAGAGAAGGAUGAAUUAUGAAUGGGAGAUAGGGAUAGAGAGGACACCACACGUGCACAAGCACGCGCAUAAAAUAAUUGAAGGGUUGGAGGGUCCGAGAUGAAAGGACUAGGUGGGUCCAGGUGGGUCGUGUUAUUAGAAGAAGUAGUAUGGUAAGGUUAUGUGUGUGUGAGAGAGAAGAAGAUUGAAAGAAGGAAAGGGGUGGUGGGUGGGGUAAGGUUAGGGAUUAAGGACGUGCGCAUUAGGUGAGGGUCUAAAUCCUUAAAAGUUAAUAAAUAAAUAAAUAAAUAAAUAAAAGAAAAUAAAAGGGUAUGUUAAUGAAAGUUCUAUGAUUACUAUUAUCUAGUGCUUUUAUCAUGGUGUG